GUCCAGUGGUUAGGACAUUGUCUUUUCAUGUCGAAGACACGGGUUUGAUUCCCGU
rnacentral:tRNA from 1 species